rnacentral:rRNA from 1 species
CAAGCUUGAUCGUUGGAUCACUUGGCUCACGGGUCGAUAAAGAACGUAGCUAGCUACGUUAAAUAACAUGACUUGCAAACUACAUGAUUGUUAAGGUUUCGAAUGCAAAUUGCACUUAUGGUUUUCAACUAUAAGUCUAUCUGUUUGAGAUCCAUA